UGGGGAAUUUUGGACAAUGGGCGCAAGCCUGAUCCAGCCAUGCCGCGUGCGGGAAGAAGGCCUUCGGGUUGUAAACCGCUUUUGGCAGGAACGAAACGGCGCGAGCUAAUACCUCGCGCUAAUGACGGUACCUGCAGAAUAAGCACCGGCUAACUACGUGCCAGCAGCCGCGGUAAUACGUAGGGUGCGAGCGUUAAUCGGAAUUACUGGGCGUAAAGCGUACGCAGGCGGCUUUGUAAGACAGGUGUGAAAUCCCCGGGCUCAACCUGGGAACUGCAUUUGUGACUGCAAAGCUAGAGUCUGUCAGAGGGGGGUGGAAUUCCACGUGUAGCAGUGAAAUGCGUAGAGAUGUGGAGGAACACCGAUGGCGAAGGCAGCCCCCUGGGAUGAGACUGACGCUCAUGUACGAAAGCGUGGGGAGCAAACAG
rnacentral:rRNA from 1 species